CAGUCGCCGCGGUAAUACGAAGGGGGCUAGCGUUGCUCGGAAUUACUGGGCGUAAAGGGCGCGUAGGCGGACAGUUCAGUCGGGGGUGAAAGCCCGGGGCUCAACCACGGAAUUGCCUUCGAUACUGGCUGUCUUGAGUAUGAGAGAGGUGUGUGGAACUCCGAGUGUAGAGGUGAAAUUCGUAGAUAUUCGGAAGAACACCAGUGGCGAAGGCGACACACUGGCUCAUUACUGACGCUGAGGCGCGAAAGCGUGGGGAGCAAACAGGAUUAGAUACCCGUGUAGUCCCUGUCUCUUAUAC
rnacentral:rRNA from 1 species